UCAAAAAUACGAGUCAGCGCUCACCCUGAGUACAGUGUCACAGGAGUGAGGGACGUGCAUAAACAAGGAGUGGAAUGCAAUCUUUUCUCCCACUGGAAGAGUGGAGUACAUGGUCUGGCCUUGCUGUCUCAGAUCACAGGAGAUGAACAGCACUGCUGCGUCUGCUGUGUUUUCAGUGUUCAUCUGACAGAGCAUGGGAGAAGACUACUGAGGAUGGAUUGUCUCAUUUUGAGUCCAGUAAACCAAAAGUGGACAUUCCUAGAGGAUGCAACAUGCUGGAGUACUGAAAUGUUUGCAAUAAAGAUCAUAAGCAGUAGAUUCUUUACUCACUUUUAAAGCACCAGACUUGCAGUGUGGGUAAGUGAAUCACACUGAUCUCUUGCUUGGUGAAGUUUACAUUGAGAUGCUAAGAAGUUUCAAUAAAAGGAUGCCCCUUGACA
rnacentral:lncRNA from 1 species